GGUUUUGGUUAGCAGUGAGAACUG
rnacentral:piRNA from 1 species